rnacentral:lncRNA from 1 species
UUUUUUUUUUUUUUUUGCAGUAAAUUUACUCCGUUCUUUUCUAUUAUAAUGGAUUGUCUACUGUAGUAAGGUAGUUUUACCAAGAAAUCUAAAAUAGAGGCACUCUCCAUAUCUUUCAAGUACAAAAGAAGAGUUGUAUGAUCACUUACUAAAAUAAAGUAUUUUAAAGUAGUACCCUUCAAACUUCAAUAGCUGCCUUUUUGGUUCAAGGCAUGAUUCAAAAGGAAAGUUUGAUGCUUUAUCCUUUUAUAUUUAAUAUUUCAUGUGCUCCACUUGUUGGAACUAUCAAGACGCUUUGAACCUUUUCCCCUUUUUUAAUUUUUGCUAUUUAAUUACUUUACGAUUAAUUUUUUAUAUACUGACGGUAUAUACAAUUUCACCAUUAGAUGAAUGACAUAUAAUUUAAAUUUAAAUUCAAAUUCAAAUUUUACAUAUAUGUUACGCAUCCAGUUGUGAUAGUGUAUAUAUUAUCAGUGCAUAUAAGAUUAACUCGCAACUUUAUUUGCUUUAGGGAUUUUUUUCCAUUUGCGGAAUGGGAUCAAUAGUGUUGGAGUGCACAUGGGGGAUUUUUCUUAAUUUGUUUUGUUUAGAUAAAGUUGCUGGAAGAGUUAAAGGAUUAGUUGUACAUUCCAAUGCCAACAUUUAAAUGCUUAGCUCCGAAGCCAAUGAGCAGAGUCCUAAAAGGCAUAUUCAUCAAUGACGGCUACCUAUUCUUUUUUGUCUAUUGAAAGACUUUUUCUAUUUUAAGUCUAUUUGCUACUUUACUACUAUAAAAAAUUCAUUUCCUUUCAUCUCUUCCUUUCAUGAGAGACUGAGUAACUUCAUUGUUUUCUUGGAUUUGUCUAACGGACAUGAGAUGAAGGAUUUUUUAGGAUUAAAUCUUAUAUAUAUUGACAGUAUAUACACUAUUAUCAUGAAUCAUACGUGUGAAAGUUGGAUUUCAAAUUUAAAUUUUAUAUAAUUGUCAUUUAUCCAAUACUAACAAUAUAUACACUGUCGAUGUAGAAAAGAUUAAUUCUUUUUCUAUAUCAUGCAUUUUGCCCUUGAAUUGUCUGCGGUGAUUUUUGGGGUGCAGAAACUAUACAAUGACUAAAUAGGUCCAAACAAAUAAAAAUGGGAGAAUCAAUUAGGCUAGGAAAAAGAAUUCAAAGACUAAAUCUGUCUUCUUAGAAGUUGGAGGAUCCCAAAUAAUCAAUCGGUCUGUCUUUGUUAAAAUAUAUUUCAAAUGUGAUAUUUUUAGAAAUAUAAGAUUAAUUAGGAUAAAUAAAUAAAUAAAUAUAAGAAAGUGUAGACAAAAUUAAAUAAAAAAAUAUAUAUAAAUACAAGGGAUAAUAAUAAUUAUCAGUACGUGUAUAUAUAAGAUUGGUAAUUUCAAUAUUCCCAACAUCAGUCCGUUAGUACAGUUUGUAUAUUUUGAGUUUCCGUACAAAAAAAUUAAUCCACACGUACAAUCAAUCAGCAGAAAGUUUCAUGUAAAAGUACAAAAUUUUGAGCUCUACCUAACCCACCCUAAUAUCAGAAUUAGUCUCACAUUUUGUUACCAUUUACUUGUCAAAUCUCAAAAUAAUCAGUCUCAUCAAUAUGACUUUUUUGUCACCACAAAAUCACAGCCCACAAUAUCUUCUCAAGAAUGCACUUCCCCAGUGUCACACGUUUAAAGAAUGGCAAUCCAGACCACCAAGCAAGAUGACAGAUUCCAUACACGGUUCUUGAACUUGUCAACAAAAUGAAAUAACAAAGCACGAUGGACGCACCGCUAUUGACAGUUUGUCUGGACGUCACAAAGUCCCCCCUCCAAAGAAGCAAUAUUUGCUAUUCGCCGCGACCAUAGCCUUUUAAGACUUGAUUAUGUGGGAGGUCAAAAUUUAAAUCGUGUCUUUCAUUACUUACUAUUAUGUGUGGAUCAGUAUGGCUGUCAUUUUAAAUGGUUUAAAUUCAUAUGAAUGUGCAUUGAACUCGUUUGGUCUGACGGUAGUUCAAUCUCUGUCGGUUCUCUUAUGAUUCAGUUGGACUCUCCUCCUCAAUAUAGAUUAGAGUAGGAAUAGGAGUAAAUAUACGAUAGAUAAAAAAAGUUAUAUUUGUUGGAAAUGGAAUUUUUGUAAAUAGGUAUCAUCUUAAUAUAAAUCUGAAUUAUAAUUGAAUUAAUGUAAAACUAACAAUUACGUUAAAAAUAUAUUAAUUUACAUCGAAAUUGUGCACAAUUUAGUUAGAGCUGAAGAGAACCUUAACUAGAGAGGCUUCGAAUCCAUAUUUAUUGGCUUGUUCUCAUUCCAAUUAAAAAAAAAAAAAAAAAAAAAAGGUAGCAUUCCGUUUAACUUGGCCAUAGAAGAGAUGUUCUUGAAGAUUUGAAAAAAUCAUGUGUAGCCUUGAAAAAACCAAAAUACAAAUUCUUCUACCUAUAAAUUUAUUGUAGUUUUACUCGGUUUGUUUUGUCGCACGUAAGCAAAUAUUCGUGGCCCAGUGUCAUUCAUUAUUUCACUCCUGCAAAUAAUGUCAAAUUAAGUGUAAAAUAGUACUACUAUUAUUCCUAGAAAACCCUCCACUAUGCUGGAAUAUUAUUAUUGCGAAUCCAAACAAGUAUUCCAAACUAUUUUGACAGAAAAAAAAAACCACAAGUAUUCCAAACCAUAUAUUUAUUUAUUUAUUUAUUUUUAUUUUUUUCAAAUGGCAAACUAAACAUCGCCAAGUGGGACAUUUCCAUCUUUCCAAAGCUGCAAGUUGAAAGGAUAUUUAAUCCCAAAAGAAACCAUUCGGCCAAAGAUGGGGGCUAGCGGACAAUAUGCUAGUUGCCGAGUAAAGAUGGCUUAGAAUUUCAGAAGACUCUGCGAACUUUCACUUAUUCAAAGUCCAAACAACAAAAACCAGCGGAAAUGUAUAGGCAUCCUUUGUCAGGAGCAAGUCAGCCAACUUCCUUGUUCAUAACAAUUUUAUCUCCUUCCCCAGUCUUUCCUGAGAAUUGGACUCAGCCCAACUCAAGAUUCCUGAUACUAUACAUUGCACAGAUCCCCCUCUAAUCCAUUUGUUCUUUUUCCCCCGUAAAUCAAACGUUAAAGAUGAUGAAGACCAGGUGUCCAGAGGCCUAUAGAUUCUUCUGCAAUCCAGUCAAAGUAAUGGGGAUUUUUGUAGCUUCCUUGGUGGGGUUCUUGGUUUGGUUUUCAGCAGUGAACGGCUGGCCUUCCUAUGGCUUUCAAUGGAGUCAGAAACCAGGGAAAAAAGGUAUCUAGCUAGCUCCUGCUUUGCUAUUGAUUACUUUUUUUUUUUUUUCUUUUUUGGCAGAAUAAAUCUCAUUGAUUUGUUUCUUUGAUUUGCAAAGAUAAUCCAAAAUUCAAGAGCUUGCUUGAAUCUGUUUAAGUGGUUUGUCUCUUGUAGCUUUUGCAUUGAACCAAUGAAUCUUGGAAGUUGCUGUUUUUGCUAAGUAUCUCCGCGUUUGAGUAAUUAUUGUGAAUUGGGUGCCCGUUGACCGAAUUUGCGUCAUUCUUAUGUGGAAUUAUUAUUACGAGGCAUCAUUACUAGCAAGAAUUACUAGAAAUUAAUACUAAGACUUUACACUCUUUUAAGAAAAUGCAAAUUAACUUAAAUUGCUUCUGAAUUUGGCAUUGUUUUGAUGAUUAUUACAUCUCCAAUUGCAAAAUUUAUAUACAAUUAGAACCCUUGAUCUUGUUCAUUAAAACUUUCUCCAAGGUGCAAAAGCAUGUUAGGUUAAUGUGCAGGUUUCCAAAUUAGAUUGACCUUACAAGAACCGACACUUUUUGGGAUAUAAGAUCUUGAAACUUAUGUCCUUCAUACUGUGAGAAAUUAAAUUGAUUAGGAUAUAAGUAAAAUUUUUGCAUACAUGAUUGAAUGGACCAAACCAACAUAGUCAUUUCUAGAUUAGGUACCUUCUCAACAUAAUGGGAUUUAUCCCAUUGGAAACUAUUGAUUGAGAGCUCCAAAAUCCGAGCAAUUAGUCAUGAAACACUAGAUUAGAAAAUCAAUCGAACAAAUGUAUAUGCACUAUGGACACAUAAACAAAUUUCUAUGGAUUAAAAUCCUCCUAAGAUGCAUAUUUCUACUGAUGGAAGAAUUAGUGAGAUAAUUAACUAGGUAGAUCCUAUUGUGGUACAUGAAACUACCUAACUUAUUAUUAGGCUAUUUGGUAACAUAUUCCAUUAGGUUGUUUUGGAUGGGAUUAGGUGUUUAUGCAUAUAAUCGGGUAAAUGCACAAAGAUAGACACAGUACUAUUUGGAGCAAAAUUUUGAUGCAUUGAACAAUUGAACAUAGUGGAAUUUAGAAAGUCAAAAGUGUCUACUCUUUGGACUAUUAUCCUCUCAGAUUACUUCAAACACGUUAUACUCUAUUUAAUUUUAGUCAAUUGUGAUUAAUCAUUACAAUAUCUUGUCAUUUUUGUUUUUGGUAAGGGAAAAUCUUCAUAUAUACUAUUUAAAUGUCUCUCUCUCUCUCUCUCUCUCUCUUAUUGGUCUCUUUUUUUUUUUUGGUUUAUUUUUUUAACCUAGCUAAGGCUUUGAAAUUUAAGAAUAAAUUUCCUAAAUUGAUGGAGAUAAAAAAGUGUUAAAUAAUAUAAUCUUUUAUACUUAUUUCUUUUUCAUUUUCUAAUUAGUGAAUUUUAGUGUCUAAUGUUCUAUGAAAUUCUAAUGAACAUGGUCACCAGGAUACCUAAUGGUCAAUAUAAUCCAAUGUAAAAUGUCUUUCUUCAUUAGCUAGAGUACUAGUCAGACUCUGACCUUCCCAUCUCCUUUCCUGCACCUUCUAAAACAUUUCAGGAGAAGAAAAAACAACCACCAGUAUAAUGAGUGAAAUUUUCAUAAUUGAAACUGUAUAUUAAGUUAUUGAGCAAUAUGAUUUUUUUUUUAAACCUACAUGAACAUUGGUAAUGUAUAAUGGUUUAUUGAGAUUUUUCCCAAAAAAAAAAAGGGUUCAUUGAGAGGCCUCAUUUUUUUCAAACAUGAGAAUAGUUGAUCCAUAUGUGGUUAAACAGCAAAAAACUUAAAGUUGCCAUGCCGCCCAUUACACCAAGUGUUCAUCAUAUUUCAUGGUCAAGAAUUUAUGGAAAUAACUCGCGUGAUCCUUCGAACUUUUGAAAUAUUUAUGUCGGCUCCCUGAACAUUGAGAACUCAAAGAUUUCUCUUUGUUUCAUUUAUCAGAUGUUAUUGUCUAAUUUUGUUUGGUGGGAGUUGUUCCAAAUUUUCUUCCUUUAGUUGAUUAGUAUCCUCUGGCUCAUUGAAUUGCUUGAGAAGAGGCUGUUGCCUCAUGUCUGUUAGCUUCACAUACAAAUUGCUCACAAUGAAAUAUUAGAGCCAUUUGCUUGACAUUUGCCAUCAUUGUCCUCAACUAUUUUUUCCAUAACUCUUCUCUUUUCUUUCCACAGAUGUUAAUUUGGACGACAUUAUAGAGCAGAUCAGGUACAUUGGAGAUUCUUUUCCCCGGCCAGUCGAGAUGCCAAAGGACAAGCUUCUUGGUGGCCUUUUCCCAGAAGGAUUUGAUGUAAAUACAUGUGUAAGUAGGUAUCAGUCAGCCUUGUACAGAAAGGAACAAAAACACCAGCCUUCUCCCAAUCUAGUCUCCAGGUUACGAAAAUAUGAAGCCCUGCAUAAACAAUGUGGACCAUUUACAGAGUCCUACAACAGAACCUUGGAAUAUCUCAAGUCAGGCAGCCAUGGCCAAGACACCAAUUCCACUGGUUGCAAGUACGUAAUCUGGAUUCCAGAGGCUGGUUUAGGAAACAGAAUGCUUAGCUUAUCAUCUGCUUUUCUUUACGCCCUGCUAACAAAUAGAGUCCUACUUGUUGAUCCAGGAAGUAGAGUUUCUGAUCUUUUCUGCGAACCAUUUCCUGAGGUUUCCUGGUUGCUCCCCUCUAACUUCCCCCUUACUGGUAAGUUCAGUAGCUUUGAUCAGAAAUCUCCUGAGACUUUUGGAAACCUGUUGAGAAACAGAAGCCAUGCUAAUUCAACUUCAUCUUCCCUGCCACCAUAUCUCUAUCUCUAUCUAGUCCAUGACUAUGAUGAGUUUGACAAGUGUUUCUUUUGUGAUCAUGAUCAUACUAUUCUCCAGAAUAUACCUUGGCUUAUUGUGAAAUCAAACAUAUAUUUUGCCCCAUCUCUUGUUUCAAUUCCAUCUUUUCAGCAAGAUAUUAGCGAUCUAUUCCCAAAUUUAGGAACUGUGUUUCAUUACCUGGGCCGGUAUCUCUUUAAUCCCACCAACUUUGUUUGGGGGCUUGUCACCAGGUAUUACGACAUCAAUUUAGCCAGGGCAGAUGAAAAGAUAGGCGUUCAGAUACGAGUACUAGACAAAGAUUUUGGUCGUUUUGAGCGCGUGCUAAAUCAGACUUUGGGUUGUAUGCUGAGGGAGAAUCUACUACCAGAAAUCAAUGGGACCAAACCUGUCGUCAUUCAAUCUGGAAAGCUUAAGACUAAAGCUCUUCUGAUUACAUCUUUAAGAUCUUGGUACUCUGAGGCAAUAAAAAGCAUGUACUGGAAACGUUCCACCGUCACAGGAGAAGUGGUUGAAGUACACCAGCCAAGCCAUGAGCAGUACCAGCAUACUAGAAGACGAAUGCACAAUAUAAAAGCAUGGGCAGAAAUCUAUCUGCUGAGCUUGACUGAUAAGCUGGUCACAAGCGGAGGUUCGACUUUUGGCUAUAUAGCUCAUAGUCUUGGAGGAUUGAAGCCAUGGAUCCUUUACAAGCCUGAGGAUCAUGUAAUCCCAAAUCCACCAUGUCAGCGGGGCGUGUCAAUGGAACCUUGCAUGCAUGCCCCUCCAUAUCAUGAUUGCACAAGUAAAAAAUGGACUGGCCCAGGUGGUAAACUUGAUCCUCAUGUACAGCAUUGUGAUGACAAAUGGUGGGGUAUUAAAUUUAUUGACAGAGAAUAGGACUAGUGACCAUUUUGUUAAUUCCUGAAGAAAUAGAAGAUAAAAUUUUCCCUUGUACACUUCAAUAUUUGUAGUGAUAUAGUCAAAAUAUUUGUUUCUUCUUUUAUCAAAGAUUGCCUGAAGGACAAUGUAGUAAGCCAGUUUUACCAGAGGGCUUCAUACAUGGCCAUUUCAACUUAACAUCUAAAACCAGGAACCACGGGCACCAUUUUGCUCCAGUAUUGCAAUUCCAGUUCCUGUAAAGCACUAACCAAAUCUCAUCAAGCAGCAAAAGCUCGAACAGCACAUUGGCAAAUCUAACCAAAUAGCAAAGAGCUUGGAUUGUAGGGAAACUAUGCUUAUAGCACCACAAACACGAUGCAUGCGUAAAACCUAAGAUACCGGCUUUAUGGGCUAACAAAUACAAUAUCACAUAACAUCUCCACUAUCAUAAGAGCUAUUCCUCGUUUAUUUGAGAGAAAUGAAACGAGAACCUUGAGCACGAUGCUAUGGUAGCCAUUGAUGCUGUUUUAUCCCUUUUUGGUCAAAGGAGACUUCGAUACUUCAAUACUGCUUCCAGGAGAAAGAGCCACACAUUUGAGCCAAGCUGAGUGAAUGGAACACUGGUUCAUGGCAGCUGAUGACUGCCCUAUUCAUCUAAAACAUGCUAUCUAGAGGUUUCUCACCUUCUCAUUGAUUAAACUGAUUACCCUCUGCUCAUUAUUCACCCAGGUGCUUCUGCACAAGAGAGAGAUUGAGCAAAUGCCCUGUCCCUGGCCCUACAGAAGUUGGGCUAGAGGAUAUUUGUUAUUAAGCAUAACUGAUUUCACAACUGGAUCCAAACAGCUUCACCAAGAAAUAUAUCUUAUACGAAGACAACUUGGAGAUGAAUGUAUACACAAAACAUUUACUCUGCAAUAAACCGCAAAGAUCCAUUACACAAGUUGAAAAGCAUAAUC